CGCAAUGGACGAAAGUCUGACGGACAACGCCGCGUGAACGAUGAAGGCUUUCGGGUCUAAAGUUCUGUUGUCAGUCAGGAAAACAAGUAUCGGAGUAACUGCCGGAUACCUUGACGGUACCUGACCAGAAAGCCACGGCUAACUACCUGCCACAGCCGCGGUAAUACUAGUGGCAGCGUUGUCCGGAAUUAUUGGGCGUAAAGCGCGCGCAGCGUUCCUUAUCUGAUGUGAAACCCCCGGCUCAACCGGGGAGGGUAUUGGAAACUGGGGAAC
rnacentral:rRNA from 1 species